UACGUAGGGCGCAAGCGUUGUCCGGAAUUAUUGGGCGUAAAGAGCGCGCAGGCGGUCGUUCAAGUCGAGUGUGAAAGCCCCCGGCUCAACUGGGGAGGGUCACUCGAUACUGAUCGACUCGAAGGCAGGAGAGGGAAGCGGAAUUCCCGGUGUAGUGGUGAAAUGCGUUGAUAUCGACAGGAACGCCGGUGGCGAAAGCGGACCGCUGGCCCUCUUCUGACGCUGAGGCGCGAAAGCCAGGGGAGCGAACGGG
rnacentral:rRNA from 1 species